CUGUUUCUAGGAUUUUGGGGUCCCUAGGCAACGGGAUUGUUGGGGGCCCUAGGGCAUUUUUUGGCCUUUUACUAAAAUGUGUGUGUGUGUGUGUGUCUGUGUGUGUGUAUGUUUUUUUCACGCUGCCCAGUGGUGUUUUUCAGAAUCACUAACCAUUAAACCAGGGGUAGGGAACCUAUGUCUCGAGGGCCCUUGAGGCCGUUUUAUCCGGCCCCUGAUAUCAUUAUAAUGUUUUGCAACUUCACAUGAAAUAGGCCUAUGACAUAUUUUGCAGGCCUAAAGGAAUCUUAGAAAUUACAUUUCCAAUGCAAUUAAGUUAUAUUCAGGGGACCUAGAAAAGGUGGGGACUGUUUUAAAGGUGUCUACCUUUAAAGAUGUCUAUAUGUCUAUAUAGGCCUAAAGGUGUCUAUAUAGGCCUAAAUUUUAUGGGGAAAUCCUGAUUUGUGUUCAUAGUACGGCCCCCGGAGGAUUUUAUGACCAUGGUAGGAAUUUGAAGUGGCCCCUCGAAUGAAAAAGGUUCCCCACCCCUGCAUUAAACCUUUCUACUAGCCACAGCUUUGCUGUCAGUACAUUUUAUUAUGAUACUAUAAGCUCAGAAAUUAAGUUGAUCAAACAAUUUGAUCUGUGCUAUAAACAUUUAAAUGAACCUACAGAAUAGGCUAUCAAAAUAGAAUCAUCUGAAUGAUCUUUCUUGGACAUACAUUUUGAAGUGACCCUUCGAAUUAAAAAGGUUCCUCAGCUGCUUUUGAGGAAAAACAUCAAUGUGCUUGGUCACUCUGGUUUUUAAAUGGUAUUCUGAACUAAAGCAAGGAUUGUUCAAGUUAGUUGAAAAUAGACCGUCUCUGGUUAAAUUAGUUCUACACCAAGCCUUUAGGUGGCAGUAAAACUAAUUGGCACAAUGCGAAUUCCACACACAAGCCACAAAGAAGCCAUCAGCCGCGGUCAACAUCACCUUCCUGAUUGAACAGAACCAGGCGCUGUCUGUGUGGUUUACAAGUUUCUUGGCGAUAUGGGGGAAAAGUUCCUCACAUGCCAACGGAAAAUGGGCGUCAUAUACAUGCAGUCACACAGGGGUUCCAAGACCCACCGGCGUAAAAUCAAGUCAAAGGCUGCUGUCUCAUAAUAUGGCGAAGACGAGUCACCUGAAGGCCUAACUCGCCAUAGAAGACUGAAAGAAUGUAAGAUUAACUUCUUUGUGACCAAUAUGACUUGCUCAUUGAUACAUUUGCUAUGUCAAUAUGAGGUGCAUGGCAAAGUAUUUAAUUUAUUUGUCUCGCUUCUAGGAGCUGUAGAAACAACAGGGUGUUCUUUUUCAGGGUAUUCUUUUUUAUAGAACUGGACAGGUCAUUUAUUCGUUACCCUUGUUUUUGAAGUGUCCUGCAGGAUGCUGUGUCCUGCAAUCCUGUGUGCUGUGCUACAGACGCGUGUGGAGGUCAACCCAAAAUGGGCACAGUCUCACCGCAGAAGAGUGAAAGAGGAUCCUGGCAGGGAGACGGUAGUGUCCUGCAGAAUGGUGAUGGGCCAAUCUUACAAGAGACCACAGAAAACUGAUAUAGUGAACUAUAGAAACAACAGUGCCUGCUGCAGUAUAAUGAGGACACCCUGAGCAGAGAGCUCCAAUAGACCCAGGUCCAGUGUCUUGGCAGGGUGAACUGGCACUGAUAUGGUGUCCUGCAGGAUGCUGUGUCCUGCAAUCCUGUGUGCUGUGCUACAGACGCGUGUGGAGGUCAACCCAAAAUGGGCACAGUCUCACCACAGAAGAGUGAAAGAGGGUAAGCUUAACCUAUAGCCUACGUCAGUGGUGGGGAACCUUUCUCAUUCGAAGGGCCAAUUCAAAUUCAUCCGAGGGGCCGUAAAAGUUCUCCAAGGGCCGUACUAUGAACACAAACCAGGAUUUUCCCCUUCACUUUAGACCUAUAUUGAAGGCAGCCACAUUUAAACAAACACCACCUUCUUCAGCUUCCCUGAAUAUAACUUAAUUGUAUUGCAAAUGUAUUUUCUAAGGUUCCUUUACAAAAUAUGUCAUAUUUUAUGUGAAGAUGAAUAACAUUAAAAUUAUAUCGGGGACCAGAUAAAACGGCCUCAAGGGUCGCAAACGGCCCUCAAGACAUAGGUUCCCCACCCCUGGCCUACAUUGGCAAUAUGACUUGUGCUACUUUAUAGAUAAGUUCUCAAUGCUGUGCAUUGCUAUGUUUUGAUUUAUUUUCUUACAUCCUACAUAUCCUGGCAGGGAGACAUA